AUAGUGGCCUUAUUUGUGAUAGCCAGAGCUGAAAACAACCUAGAUGUCCCACGACAGAAAAAUGGAUACAGAAAAUGUGGUCAUUUCCACAUGGAAUACUACUUGGCUAUUAAGAAUGAGGACAUCCUGAGCUUUGCAGGCAAAUAGAUGGAACUAGAAAAUAUCAUCCUGAGUGAGGUUCAAGAAUACAACCUAUCUUAUGCUACCAUAAUUUAGAAUACAGGAGAUGGCUAACCCAUGGGACUUGGAAAAUCCAGGAUUAACUAGUUAAACUGUCCAGAAAGCUCUGAUCUCAGCUGUUCACUGGCAGAACAGAUUGCCUCCCAAGUGUUUCUCUGCCAUUCGGUAUUCCUCAGAUGUGAGAGAGCCAUAAGCAAAGACAAGUCUGGCUUGUGUAGAAGUCUUGUAUCAUUCACUGAAGAAAGGAGUAAACGACUGAGGAAGAUCAUGUCACCCAUUGGCAUCCACAUGUAUCUGAAAAGAAGUCCGUGUGCCCCUCCCUGCAUGCAUGUGAAAACAUACAUGCAUGCACAACACAGAUGCAGAAUGAGUUUCUAGUAUUGCAUCAAGCUAUUGGACUAUGAUUAGCUGCGAUGUUAAUUUUGGGUAAAGUGAUGCUUCUGCAUCAUCUUCCUCAGAAGAAAGAAUGAUCAGUUGUACUGCACUGGUGAUGACCAAUGGAUAGAGCAUCCGCAGCCUGUUUCCCAGUCAUCUACUGAACAGGAAGAGUGCUGGGUGUAGUCAUGUCUCAUCAAAUCCUAUAGUUUAGUUUUCUUAAUGGAACUGUAGUUUCACUGAAAUGUAAACUGAAGAGCUGCUCAGGACAGUUUAUGUACAUCUUAGUUGACUAAGUUUCACUUUGGACAAUGCCACCAAAAGAGCAUUCUAGAUGUUCAUAAAUAAAUAAAUAAAUAAAGAUAAAUAGAUCCAU
ensembl:antisense 4933413L06Rik RIKEN cDNA 4933413L06 gene